UUACGGCCAUAUCAGAUUGAAACGCCGGUUCUCAUACGAUCACCGAAUUUAAGCGACGUCGAGAAUGGUCAGUAGCUAGAUGGGUGAUCGCUUCCGAAAACCGGGUGAUGUAG
rnacentral:rRNA from 1 species